ACCAAUGACCAUAGAGAAGUGGAAUGGCCAAUACAAAUAACACAAGUUUUGUUGAAUUCCAAGGGCUAGUCAAAACCUUCACAGUAAUUACUGACUUGAGAAUUCAAUGAUCUUAUCCAUAUUUCCUUUUACCAACUCCAUUCUCCAAAUUACCACCAUUCUCCAAAUUACCACCAAGUCCGAUAAUCAGAUUAAUUCCAAUUGAUCCAAUAUUGUAUACUAAUCGGCAAACAGAUGCAACUAUAUAUAUUAAACAAUUUCUCACAAUCUUAAAAUGUUCCAUUUUUCAGGGUUGGAGGGGGGUCAAGCUUCAAAUUUAGGCAGCACAAGUUUUUUACAUGUAAAAAUGCCGCAAAAAGCUUCAAGCUAACAGUAUUGUUGGCCUGUUAAGCUCUGGUCUGCAUUGCAACAAAAGACCAGCAGCAAUUUCAGCUCAACUCCUGUAGCAAUACUGUUUUGAACUGAAGAAAUGAAGCUGGUCCGAAUGCAACAACAUAUUUUGAUUAUUUUGUUCCUAUGCAACAACAAAAAGGGCAUGGCAGACCCAACAAAUAAGUAGCCCAAUCGGCCCAAAAUAGUUCCUGGCCCGGAACACAAAAAAAAAAAAACAAAAGGAACCCUAGCCCUAAGCAAUAAGGAGCGCCGCAACAAGCCCUCAGCGCCGCAACAGCCCUCGCCUCUAGCGGCCUCUCCAAGCGCCGCACGACUCGGGGCCGACCCCUCUCCACGCGCGCCGGCCUCUCCACGAACGCCUGCAAAAACGGACUCAAGGAGGCCAAAGAAAAAAACAAGAUAAAUAUAUAUAUAUAUAUAUUUAUAUAUUUUAUUUUCUCUUUUCGGCCUAUAAAAGGCCAUUUAAUCUGCAAAAUAAGGACGGAGAAAUACGGAAAAUACAGAGAAAAAUCAAUUGAAGAGCGAGUUGCUUAUUUAUUUUUUUUAAGGUGAUUAUUGGAGUUAUUUUAGAUCUUUUUUUUUCUGAUUUGGGUUUUUAUAUUGCGAAAAAAAUAAAAAAGGAAGAGACCACUUACCUGCUUCACCGAGUCUCCCUCCGUCACGGCUGGAGGCUGAGACGACGAUCGGGUUGCGGCACGCUGCGAAGGAUGGUGCGAGGACGCUAGGGAUUAAACCCUAGCAGAGCACCUAAGAGAUUUUUUUUAUUUUUUUCUUUCACUCGGUUUCAAAUGAUUUUGGAAGGGGAAAAUUUUUUUUAAAUAACGUUCAAAACGGCGUCGUUUCGCCCUGGUGUAACCCGCGCGGUGACUCGACCCGGAGGGGAGGAUCCGCGCGCUCUGACGUCAUAUGGGCUAUUUGCGCAAUUGGCCCCUCCUGUUUGCAGCGCAUUUCAAUUAAACUUGUUUUGUUUUCUUAAAAAUUGGGCCGCACAUUUAAUUUUUGUUUCAAUUUGGCCCCUUUGCUGCGCAGCGUUUUGGAAGGACGGGAUAAUUUCCCUUUUGGUCCUCCUCUGUUACGCGCGUGUUCAAGUGGGCCAUUUCUUUUAAAAUUUUAUUCAAAAUUUGCCCCAUUUGUUGUUUUUAAGCUCAAUUUAGCCCAUUUUAGCUAUUUUUCUCAUUUUUUACUUUAUUUUAUUUAUUUAUUAUUAUGAUUAUUAUCAUUAUUUCUAUAUUCUUACACGCAUAGUUUUUUUACAUAAUAUAUAUGUUUUCAUGUAGUACAUACGCAUAUUCUUGUAUAAAAUAUAUACGUUUUUUAUAUAUGUAUUUUUUUUAAAUUUUUUGAAUACUUGCAUUUUUUUAUACAUAUGUUUUAUAAAUAUAUGUUUAUAUUUUUUUUAAAAAAAAACUUUUAUAUACUUUAUAUUUUAUAUAUACUUAUACAUUCUUAUUUUGUAAAUAUCUAUACAUAUACAUAUAUUUAUUUUUACGAAUCUUAUCUUCGUAAUUUUCAUGUACAUAAAUACAUUUUUUUAUAAUUUAUUACAAGGUUUUUGUUUAUACAUUUCAUUCCUUUUCUCUUACAUGUAUACUUUUUUAAAAAAAAUAUAUUCACACUCGUAUCUUUAAUUGACUUGUAAAUUGUGCUUGCAUAUAUAUUUGUAAAUACUUAUUCAUUUAUAUUUGAAAUUAGAGUAACUGUUUCAUGUUAUACCUUAACCUUUUCAGCAUCUCUUUCCAAAAAUUUAUAUUUUGAUUUUCUCAAAGUUUUGAAAUCCUCCUGUUUUACAAAUUCCAAAAUAUUUGGCAUUCAUGAUUCUCGGGAAAGAUUGUGUCAUAACUUACUGGAUUGCGAUUAUUUUUUGAUGAAUCUAGAAUACCAAUUAUUUGUUUUGCAAUAAACUCAAAUUUUAAAUAAAAACUUAUUCUCGGGAAUUUAGAAUGUUGGGUCCUAACUUACUGGUCAUGACAUUUUUUUUCUCGGAAUAAGAGUUUUCAAAAAUAAAAGGCAAUAUUCGGGUAUUUUGAAGAUUUAAAAACAUUGUGCCCUAAUUUACUGGGUGUGGUGUUUUAUUUCUUUGAAGUAAGAAUUGUCUUAAUCCAUUCAUGAAAUAAAAAGUUUCCUUUUAAAAUCUUUUCAAAUUUUCGACACCAAGGCAUUUAAAAAAAUCAAUUUGGUACCAAUUUUGGGCGUUACGAGGGUGCUAAUCCUUCCUCGUGCGUAACUGACUCCCGAACCUGUUUUCUCAAACUUCGCAGACCAAAAUUAUUUUUUAAGGUGGGCCGGUCACACCUUAGUAAAGAAUCAGUGGCGAAUCCAGUUUUUGUUUUUAAGUCGACAACUAAAUUUUUUGUUUUCAAAAAACCGGUUUCGACAGCUUGGCGACUCCAGUUUUUGUUUUUAAGUCGACAACUAAAUUUUUUGUUUUCAAAAAACCGGUUUCGGCAGCUUGGCGACUCUGCUGGGGACGUUAGAGAGUCAAGCCAGAAAUUGAUUCAUUUUUGUCUUUGUGUCGAACAUCAAAAGUUUUUUAAAAAAAAAUUCAUGAUUUCCCUUCAUACUCAUUUUUUUUACCAUGGAAUGUUGGCUACUUUGCAUUUGCAUUUGCAUUUGCAUUUUUGCAUUACAUGGUCAGUUUUAUCCUUUAAGUGGGAGCGAGAAACUAGUCCUUCGUGAGGUUUUCACCUCCGUGCAGGGUAGUGGACCGCUUCCGGGAUACAUCUGUACCUAUGUCUUCGUGAGAUUUUCAUCUCCGUGCAGCCAUAGGGAAAUGUAUCCCCCUGAACUGAACUCGAUCCACAUGAGCCUAUAAUGGGUGAGGAUCGAGGAAUCUGCUGGUUCGGGUACCCCUACUCUAGAAACUAAACCUCAUAUAGUGAGCUUUAGGGACUUGCCCUAGGUAGAACUAUACUGAACCCUAGUAGAUUCCUAAUAAGUGUUCUUGCCAUGUUAUUAUAUCUUUAUAUGUGAUACUGACUUGUUUUAUUUUGAUUGCAUGGCAUCAUGAUUGCAUGACAUUUCAUUAUAAAGGCGUUGGUUCAUAUUCGGUUGCCAUACAGAAAGUUUAUCAUGGGAAAUGGGUUUCUUGAUAGAGUGGAAGACAAUGCGGCCGUCCAGACUUGGUCUGAGAAGAUACAGCACGAAAAAGGUGAUAGUUUGGCCGUGGGAUACGUAUCAGAGUUAUGGGACUUCACUCGUGUUAGCGUAGCUCAGAACAACUUGCAGGAAUUGAAGGAGAUUUGGGAUCAAUGGGAUAAUGAGGUUAGGCAGCUAUUCUAUUCAAAUUAUGGGAAUUUACCUUAUUUACUUGACAUGAAGGUAGACAAACGUCUGUUUCGAGCUCUUGUCCAGUUUUGGAAUCCGGCCUACAGUUGCUUCACAUUCGGAAAGGUUGACCUGGUGCCUACAAUAGAGGAGUACACGGCUUUACUUCGGUGUUCGAAGGUACAGGUGGAUAGAAUUUAUUCAAAAGCGGUGAAUGUACCAACCUUCUUGAGGAAGUUGAUGAGUAUAACAGGGAUGAGUGAACAGUGGGUUAUAGCUCGGAUUAAGCAAAAAGGGGAUAGUAGGUGUAUUCAUUGGAAAAGCUUGAAGGACCUCAUUUUAGCACACCCAGAUGCGAGGAAGAAAGUGGACGUCUUUGCUCUAAGUAUAUAUGGUCUAAUCUUGUUUCCUAAGAUUUUGGGACAAAUUGAUGAGGUGGUCACUAAUUUAUUCGACCGGCUUGACAAGGGAGUUAUGCCAGUUCCGGUGAUUUUGGCAGAAACCUUUAGGUCAUUAAAUGCAUGCCGAAGAACGGGAGAGGGCAGAUUUAUUGGAUGUGCGCAGUUAUUACUUGGGUGGUUCCAUAGCCACUUUUGGAAGGUUGAUAAGGUUUCAUAUCAGGUCUUCUCUGAAAGUUAUUCACCGUUGAAAGAGAUAGUGGCUACAUCAAGGAGAGAUGAUAUUACAGAGGAGAAAUGGAUGGCAAUCUUUCAGAAUCUGCAAGAAGAAGAUAUCGAGUGGAGAGCUCCGUGGUUGCUUCCAGAUGAGAUCCUAUAUAGGUGUGGUGAUUUCGACUGGGUUUCGUUGCUCGGGAUUUGGGGAGCUGUUGGUUAUGCCCCAUUGCUAGUGUUAAGACAGUACAGGUCAAGACAAUUUGUGCCUGCCAUUCAAGGACUAGCUGAGUGUGAAUUCUCAUAUAAGGAUGAUGGCUACAAAAGGAAGGCUCGUGAGAUGGCCAAUGCGUGGAAUCAGACUCGCUGAAUGAAGAGAUUAGCCGUCGGUCCAAUGACAACUUCUGAAUAUAACGAAUGGCGUGCUAGGAGGAUUAAUGACAACAUUCCCGGGCUAAGUUCAAAAAAUAGUCAGUCGAUAGAGGAGCAUUUGCGCGUCGUCCCUUCUGAGCUAGAAAUCAUAAAGCAAGACCUCGAAAGAAAGAAUGCAGAGUUAGAGAAAAAACUAGAACAAAUGGAGGAAGAAAAAGUGAAUUUAAAGUUGGACAUAGAUGUUCAAAAGCAGGAAACCGAGGGCCUGAGAAAAGGGAAGCGCAAAGUCGAGGAAGAUCUGAACAGCUUGAAGACGGAUUAUAAGAGACUACGUCUGUCCGUAAGAACUACUGGGUUGGGGAAAACCUCAGAGCAGUGGCGUCAAGAGGUUCAAGAAGAAAAAGCCAAGGCUGGCAGAUGGGAAGAAAGAUUCCAAGAAGCCCAGAUGCAAAAUAGAUCGCUUGAGAAGAGUUUGUUAGAAAAUCAAGAUGAAAGGGAUAAACUAAGGGCUAGAGUGGCCGAACUUGAGAAGAUUGUUCAUCAAUAUCCAAAUCGUAAUUCAGUGGUGGAACUGCAAGCAAGUUUAAGUAGAAUUGAGCAAAUGAAGAAAACUAUAGAAGAACUAGAGGUGGCAUUGCAGAACUGUGAAGCCAGGAUUGAGUAUUUGGAGGCAAACAAAAAUCAUCAAAGCAGAAUCAGGUCAGAAGCAGGGAUCGUGUUAUGGGACAAGCCUUGGUUCAGAUUCGAGAAAUAGCUGAUCACUUACAAACUCUGGCAGUACAAGCUGACACGUUGAGCGUAAAGUAUGAAUUAGAGUCAGACCGGGGACGGGAGUUAACCUCGUUGCUUCAAAAAAUUAAGGUCUUAAGUAUUAGGGCGAAGUCGUAUUUGUAGUCUAUUCUAUGUAAAGAGAUUUGUUUUCUAAUAAAGUUUUCCAAGUGGAAUUGAAUCAUAAUUAACGCCUUUCUUACAUUCAUCUCAUGCAUCGCAUCAUAUGCAUUCAAAACUUUGAAUUGAUCCUAAUUAAUUAAAAUUAUUGCUCAGUUAACCUGGAAACCAACCAACCAAUCCAACACCGAUACAGCACUCGAGCAAAGACAAGAGAUAUGAAUCAGAGAUUAGAAAAGCUCGAACAGUACCAGAAGGAGAUGCAAGACCGGCUUCAGCUACAAAUGAAGGAACGGUUAGACAAGAUGAAACAGGAGAUGUCUGAGAAGAUGCGAGAAUCUCAAGGGGACAUAGUGGCAAAGUUAACCAGGUUGAUAACUAAGGGAGGUGAUAAAGGAAAGGGCCCUAUGGCAGAUGUCGAUGAGGGAAAUGAUGAUGAACUUUUAUAUCCUCCAGGUUUCACCCCUCCACAUGAGCGAACUCAAGCUGAAUACCCGCGUAAAUCUACUGUCACCAUCAUGCCUCAGCAAUUUCGAGCUGGUAUUUCGGACCACCAAGCUGGGCCAGGCUUUAAUCCUGAAAAUAAUCCUAUUAACUCUGCCAUUCCUGACUUUGAUGAAGUGGUUGAGAAGGAAAGAGUGAAGGAAGAGUUACCAAAGCAGUUGGAAGAAAGAUGCAGGUGGCUCGAAGAGAAGUUCAAGGCAAUGGAGGUUGCUGAGAGUUAUCGAGGCAUUGACGCGAAAGAGCUGAGUUUAGUGCCAGAUUUAGUACUCCCUCAUAAAUUUAAGAUGCCUGAGUUUGAAAAGUACAAUGGGACAAGCUGCCCAGCAGCUCACAUCACUAUGUUCUGCAGGCGAAUGACGGGUUAUGUUAACAACGACCAACUCCUGAUACACUGUUUCCAAGACAGCCUUACUAGGACAGCAUCCAAGUGGUACAAUCAGUUGAGUCGUGCCACGAUUGGAUCAUGGAGGGACUUGGCACAAUCGUUCAUGAAACAAUAUAGUCAUGUGACUGACAUGGCUCCUGACAGAAUCACCCUUCAGAACAUAGAGAAAAAGUCAAGUGAAAGCUUCAAGCAGUACGCACAGAGAUGGAGGGAGGUCGCAGUCCAAGUUCAGCCACCGCUCCUGGAAAAGGAAAUGACCAUGUUGUUCAUUAACACCCUGAAGACACCGUUCAUUACACAUAUGUUAGGAAGUGCCACAAAAAGCUUUCCUGACAUAGUCAUGAACAGCGAGAUGAUUGAGAACGCCAUCAGGAGUGGGAAGAUCGAUGCUGGAGAGAGUAACAGAAGAUCAGCCUCGAGGAGGAAGGAGAGUGAGGUGAACAACACGAGCAUGUACAACAAGGGUUACUCGAAGUCAGUAACAGUGAGUCAGCCAGGAAAGGUGGCUGCCAAUCAACAAAACUCGUCGAGACAGGAGGUCAGUACAAGGCGAAAUGUUGAGAGGCCCCAAUUCACGCCAAUUCCUAUGUCAUACAGGGAACUAUACCGAAAUUUAUUUGACGCACACGUAGUUUCCCCUUUCUAUCUGAAGCCCUUACAGCCCCCGUACCCCAAAUGGUACGACGCAAAUGCAUUGUGCGACUAUCAUGCGGGAAUCACGGGGCAUUCUAUAGAAAACUGUACUGCCUUCAAGAAGGUGGUUGAACGGCUCAUUAGUAUGGGUGUCGUUAAAUUUGAUGAAGCCACCAAAGCAGAAAAUCCAUUACCAAACCAUACUGACAGCGGAAUAAAUAUGAUGGGCGAGGACAGAAAAAUCAGGGCAGACAUUGCGGACGUGAAGACUCCCUUGAGAUGGGUCUGGAAAGAGAUGGUGAAAAGGGGGCUAAUUGUUCCGAAAGAAAACUGUGAGAAGAGGAGGAAUUACUGUGAGUUCCAUUGUGAAAUGGGGCAUGAAAUCCAAGAGUGUACGGAGUUCAGAGCCUUGGUACAGGGUAUGAUGGAUAAUAAGGAGGUGGAAUUUUGUGAAGGAAUUCAGAGGGAGAGUCAUGUGUGCACGUCAGAGUUUGCGUUGGGAGUCCCGGAGGCUAACCGUCCUGUGUUCAUCAUUUUGCGACCUCAGAACAGUGAGGUUGGGGUGCGAGUAGCACCAAAGGUCAUCAUUCAAAAGCUGACCGUGUUUACUUACAAGGAUAACAGGAGGGUCCCUUGGAAUUACAAUUGUAAUGUGACAAUCCUAGAGAAGGAGGACCAUGACGAAGGAAGGUAUGACGAACAGGUGAAGGCUCGAGUAGAGCCAAUAAGAAAAGAAACUCCGGUUGGAAAGAAGAAGAAGGCUGUCGAACCUGAAUUGGUGGUCAAUGAACCAAUCAAAGAGGAGGAAGCUAGAGAGUUCUUGAAGUUCAUCAAGCAUAGCGAGUACAGCAUUGUGGAUCAGCUACACAAACAACCAGCUCGCAUAUCUGUGCUAGCUUUACUCCUGAACUCGGAGGGACAUCGAAAUGUAUUACUGAAGGUGCUAAAUGAAACUUACGUGGCCGACGAUAUCUCUGUUAACAAGUUAGAUCGACUAGUCGGCAAUAUAAGCGCUGAUAACUUCAUCUCUUUCAGUGAUGAUGAAAUACCACCUGGGGAUAUGGGAUCUACUAGAGCUUUACACAUCACUGCAAGGUGUAAAGGAUGCAUAUUACCGGGGGUUCUGGUAGACAAUGGAUCGGCAUUAAAUGUAUUGCCCCUAUCCACGCUCAACAGGCUACCUGUGGAUAGUUUGCAUAUGAAGUCGUGUCAGAACGUGGUUCGAGCAUUUGAUGGUACUGAGAGGGGGGUCAUGGGAAGAAUUGACAUUCCCCUGUUAAUUGACCCAACUAUUUAUGAGGUGGACUUCUUAGUUAUGGACAUCAAGCCUUCUUACAGUUUCCUAUUAGGAAGGCCAUGGAUUCAUUCAGUAGGUGCGGUACCGUCAUCGUUACAUCAAAAAUUGAAGCUGGUAUCAGAAGGCAGGGUUGUGACGAUAGACGCUGAAGAAGAUAUCAUUGCAUCUGUGGCCAACGAUGUGCCUUAUCUAGAAACGAGCGAUGAUGCAAUCGAGUGCUCUUUCCGUUCCUUGGAAUUUGUAAAUGCAACAUUCAUCCUUGAGGGGAGCAAGAUCCUGAUGCCGAGAAUAUCAAAGACCACAAGGAUGGGUCUGCAACUGACAGUAGGAAAGGGAGCUUUGCCGAGAAAAGGAUUGGGGAAGUAUCUUCAGGGCCGAGUUGAGGCUCCAGUAUUGAAAGACAAGCAUGACCGUUUUGGCUUAGGAUACAAGCCAGAUGCUAGGCAGAAGAGUAUAGAGCAGGAAAAGAAACAAAUGAGAAGAAGGGCUCGUUUGACUGGGGAUGAAGUUGAAUGGGAACCCAUGACCUUUCCUCACCUAUCCAAAACCUUUGUAUCGGGAGGAUUUAUCUAUCCAGAAAUGCUAGGGGUUAGAAGUAUUAACACGGAGCUAGGGAGUAUUCAUGCCGUGUAUGAAGGAGCGACACGAGGAAGAGCUUUGCCAGAUAUUCGUCCUUACGAGUCGGAAAGGGAGCUAAACAACUGGACUGCAGAAGAAAUACCUGUAGUUUUUAGGAUUUCCUCAGAGUAAUGUCCAAAACACCCUUAUUGCUUUUUAGCCUAGAAGUGAUAAGGAUUCUUUUGUGAAAUAGGCUCAUGUCCAGAAAAUCGUUAUUUUAAUAAAGUUCAUGUUUGCAAACAUUUUUGGAGCAAAUCUUUCUUUCAUAAGAGCAGUUAUUUUAAGUUUAUCUGAAACUACACUUGGAUUUCAUUCAUGACCAUAUUGCACCAAACAAAUUCCUGAAUCCAUAUUGUUUUUCAUACUUAUAACAGGUCCCAUGAUAUCAAUGAUGCGAAUGUCACUCUUACAAAUUUAGAGUCUCCUUUUGAACGAAAUAUGUGUUUAGAGGGAUCGCAUGAUUUUGAAGACAACGAAGACUGUGGUUUGUCUCCUGACUUGUCAAAGAUGGUAGAAAGGGCUGAGAAACAAAUCCUACCUCACAGGGAAUCAAUAGAAGUCGUGAGCUUAGAGGAGGGUAAAGAGGUGAAGAUCGGAUCAGAUAUCUCUGUAAAGACAAGACAGGACCUCGUUGAAUUACUCCGAGAGUUCAAGGACGUGUUUGCAUAGUCAUACCAGGAUAUGCCAGGGUUGAGUACCGACAUGGUAGUCCAUUGUCUCCCUAUAAGAGAAGAUUGCAAGCCAGUGCAGCAAAAACUCAGAAGGAUGAGGCCUGAUAUCGUGUUGAAGAUAAAGGAAGAGGUCCAAAAGCAGUUUGAUGCCGGAUUUCUGCAAGAAGUCAGGUAUUCUGAGUGGUUGGCCAACAUCGUACCAGUUCCAAAGAAAGAUGGAAAGGUACGAAUGUGUGUGGAUUAUCGGGAUUUGAAUAAGGCUAGCCCGAAAGACAACUUCCCAUUACCCCACAUCGACACAUUGGUAGACAAUACGACAGGCUAUUCAUUAUUUUCUUUCAUGAAUGGUUUUUCGGGGUACAAUCAGAUAAAGAUGCAUCCUGAGGACAUGAGAAAGACUACAUUCAUCACGUUAUGUGGGACGUUCUACUAUAAAGUGAUGUCGUUUGGAUUAAAGAAUGCAGGAGCGACAUACCAAAGAGUCAUGGUAGCCUCGUUCCAUGACAUGAUGCACAGGGAAAUCGAGGUUUACGUUGAUGAUAUGAUCGCGAAAUCUAGAACGGAGGGCGAACAUGUGCAGGUCUUGAGAAAAUUAUUCUUAAGAUUGAGAAAGUUCCAGCUCAAGCUUAAUCCAGCGAAGUGCACUUUUGGGGCCAGGUCAGGAAAGUUGCUAGGCUUCAUAGUCAGUGAAAAGGGAAUCGAGAUUGACCCAGACAAAGUCAAGGCAAUACGAGAUUUACCUCCACCUCGCACUCAGAAAGAAGUUCUAGGUUUCCUUGGAAGACUGAAUUACAUCGCUAGGUUCAUUUCACAACUGACUGAGAAAUGUGACCCUAUAUUUCGUCUUCUGAAGAAACAUAAUCCUGGUACUUGGGAUGAGGAAUGCGAAGAAGCUUUUAACAAGGUGAAGUAGUAUUUGUCUAAUACUCCAGUGUUGUCACCACCUAACCCGGAUAGGCCUCUGAUAUUGUAUCUAACGGUAUUCGAAAAUUCCAUGGGGUGUGUGUUAGGUCAACAUGAUGAAAUGGGGAGGAAAGAAAGGGCGAUAUAUUAUCUCAGCAAGAAAUUCACUGACUGUGAAAUGAGGUAUUCGCCUAUUGAGAAAUUAUGCUGUGCUUUGAUUUGGACAACCCGAAGAUUAAGGCAGUACAUGUUAUACCAUACGACUUGGCUGAUCUCAAAGUUAGACCCGUUAAAGUAUAUGAUGGAGUCAACUGCUUUGAAUGGGAGAAUGGCCAGAUGGCAGAUCUUACUGUCUGAAUUUGAUAUUGUCUAUGUGAGCCACAAGACUGUGAAAGGGAGUGCAAUUGCUGACUUCCUAGCUAGUACUACGAGCCGUUGAGUUUUGAUUUCCCAAAUGAGGACCUGAUGUGUGUAGCCGCUACUGAAGAAAGUCCCCAAGAAGGUCACAGUUGGAAGUUAAACUUUGAUGGAGCCUCGAACGCUGUAGGCAAUGGAAUUGGGGCAGUCCUGGUGUCCCCAAAUGGUGAUCAUUAUCCUUUCACUUGCAAAUUGGAUUUUGAUUGUACAAAUAACAUGGCAGAAUAUGAAGCAUGCGUCAUGGGUAUUCGUGCAGCUAUAGAGCGAGGAAUCAAAGUGCUAGAGGUCUAUGGAGAUUCAGCAUUGGUGAUAUAUCAGCUCAGGGGUGAAUGGGAAACGAGAGAUUCCAAAUUAAUCAGUUAUCGAAAGUUGGUCCUCGAAUUGAUUAAGGAGUUUGAGGACAUCACUUUUUGCUAUCUCCCACGAGAUGAGAACUAGAUGGCUGAUGCACUAGCUACCUUAGCUUCCAUGAUCAAACUGAACAGACAUGGGGAUAUGAAACCAAUCCAAAUGAGUAUCUAUGAAGACCCGGCUCAUUGUUACAAUAUUGAAGAAGGGGAAAUCGAUGAUAGUCCUUGGUAUUAAGAUAUAUUACGGUAUGUAAAAAAUCGUGAGUAUCCUGGCCAGGCAACAGAGAAUGAAAAGAGAACUCUGAGAAGACUAGCCAUUGAUUAUGUCUUAGAUGGGGAGAUCUUGUACAAGAGGAGAAAAGAUCAGGUACUACUAAGAUGUGUGGACGCCGUAGAAGCAAAGAAAAUUCUAGAAGAAGUCCAUGAGGGCAUCUGCGGAACGCAUGCCAGCGGGUUCACAAUGGCUAGGUAGGUUAUGAGAUUCGGGUACUACUGGUCUACCAUGGAAGGGGAUUGCAUCAAUUAUUUCAAGAAAUGCCAUAAAUGUCAAAUCUAUGAUGAUAAAAUGCAUGCACCUCAUUCAUCUCUUCAUGUCAUGGCUUCUCCAUGGCCUUUCUCCAUGUGGGGUAUGGAUGUUAUCGGGUCAAUAUCGUCGAAGGCUUCAAAUGGGCAUCGCUUCAUAUUCGUGGUUAUUGACUACUUCACCAAAUGGGUAGAAGCUGCUUAGUAUGCUAAUGUUACAAAGUCAUCAGUCAGUAAGUUCUUGAAGAGAGAGAUCAUAUGUCGGUAUGGAAUGUCUGAAAGAAUCAUAUCCGACAAUGCGUUGAAUUUGAACAACAACUCAAUAGCAGAGGUCUGCAGUCAAUUCAAGAUCAGACAUCACAAUUCGUCGCCGUAUCGUCCGAAAAUGAAUGGUGCAGUAGAAGCAGCCAAUAAAAAUAUAAAAAAGAUUAUAGGGAAGAUGACUGAGACUUACAGGGAUUGGCACGAGAAAUUUCCAUUUGCCCUCCUGGCCUAUCGAACGUCAACCAGGACCUCCACCGGGGCAACGCCUUUCUCCUUAGUUUAUGGCAUGGAGGCAAUCUUGCCCAUCGAAGUUGAAAUCCCUUCUCUUCGGGUUUUGUCUGAGCUACAAUUGGAUGAAGCGGAAUGGGUUCAAUCUCGAUACGAUCAGUUGAACUUGAUAGAGGGAAAGAGGCAAAAGGCUAUUCAGCACGGUCAGAUAUAUCAGAAAAGAAUGAUGCGAGCCUACAACAAGAAAGUUUGACCCAGAGAAUUUCACGAGGGGGACAUGGUAUUGAGAAAAAUUCUUCCUCUACAAAAGAAUUUAAGGGGGAAAUGGAUGCCGAAUUGGGAGGGUCCUUAUGUUGUAAAAAAGGCCUUUUCUGGAGGAGCCCUGAUCUUGGUGAAGAGGUACUUUACUUGAAGAAGGGAAGGAACCAAGGUGAAAACCCGCAAAGGGCGCUUUGAUUCCAAAAAAAAAAAAGGAGAGGCUAAGGUGAAAACCCGCAAAGGACACCUUAAGACCAAAGGGGAUUUGAGUUGAAAACCCGAAAAGGGCGGCUCAAAUUUUGAUUGUCACGUGGUAGUCUUGCUGUACCUAAAUCGGCAGAAAGGAAUAGAUGACAUCUUGGGGCAUCAACAAAAUACUGUGAAUUUCCUAAACAUGUGUUGAAUUCAAAAGGGUCUUCGAAAGCUGUAUAGAGAAAUUCAAGCAGAGAUAUCUGUGGCACAUGUUCAUAGCAUUUGUAUUGAAUUCGUUAUUAAAUUAUGUCAUUUUUUUUCAAUAUAAAUGUCCCCAGACAAUUCCACUAUCAUUGACAAUCCAUUGCGAGCUAUCCUCCUAGACUAAUUUUGUUUAUGUUAUCGUUAUGAUCCUUUCACAAGCAUGUUGCAUUAGAAUGACGAUUAAUGGACUAGUAAAACUUUCACAAGGGAAGUUUUUCAUAUUACUCUAGAAAUCUUUAAAUAACUCAGGAACCUAAAACAUGACUAUUGUUUAGACCUUCACCGGGUUAAAAGGUCGGAGAUAUCUAGGAGCCAAGAGCCGAGAUUUUAAAUUUUUUCAAGUUUUGACGAAGCGUUGUUGCCACGAAAGAAGCCUUAAUGAGCAAUAAUGGCUUUAAACAUUCAAUAUUCAUGACAUAACAUCCAAAUGUCAUUCAUACACGCCUAGUUAGGAGCAUUUGAUUCAUUCUGAUCAUAACAUCCUAGUCAUUAGGCAUAAUUAGGCUCAUAAAGUGAAUCAUACAGGUCAUGUUUCACAGAGAGCUGAUUGGUGAAAUCAUAAAGCCUUGUUUCCCUGAGCAACAGUGGAGCAGGUUGAAAAGCAGCAGAUCUUGCCUUCCCAUACUGGUGGCGAAGCAGAUCAAAGAAAGUAGAUCUUGUCUUCAUGUACUGGCAUGAAGUAGAUCAAAGGUAACAGAUCUUGCCUUCCCAUACUGGCGGCGAAGCAAAUCAAAGGAAAAAGCAGAUCUUGUCUUCAUGUAUUGGCGUGAAGUAGAUCAAAGACAUCAGGUUCUGUCUUCCUAUAUUGGUAGCGAAGUGGAUCGAAUAUACAGGUUUUAUCUUCCCAUACUGGUGGCGAAGUAGAUCGAGGAAAACAGAUCUUAUCUCCAUAAGCAGUAGCGGAGCAGAUCGAAGAUGGCGGAUUUUUACCUCCCUGAAGUUGUAGUGGAGUAUAUUGAAGCCGGUAAUUCUAUCGCCCCGGUCGGCAGUGGAAUCAAUCGAAGAAAGCAGAUCUUGUCUUCAUGUACUGGCGUGAAGUAGAUCAAAGAAAGCAGAUAUUGUCUUCCCAUACUGGUGGUGAAGUAGAUCGAAGAUACAAGUCUUAUCUCCCUAAAGUUACAGUGGAGCAGACAAAAGUAACCAGUCUUAUCUCCUUGAAGUUGCAGUGGAGCAGACAAAAGUAACCAAUCCUAUCUCCUUGAAGUUGUAAUGGAGUGGAUUAAAACCGCAGAUCUCAUCUCUCUGAAGUUUCAGUAGAGCAGAUCACAUCAGAUUUACCCUUAAGUCGUAACAGAACAAAUUGAAGCUAUAAGUCUUAUCUCCAUGAAGUUGUAGUGGAGCAGGUUAAAGAUAGCAAAUUUUGUUCUUUUGAGAAGCGUUGAAAAGUUGAGGCUCUGCUGGACCAGGCACAAUUGGGCCCUGUAGUCUUUGCUCUAUUCCCGUUACACGACAAUGAGCAAAGAGGGGCAGCUGUAAUAAGGCCCAAUCGGCCUGGGUCCAAAUUAAACAAAAAGGGCAUGGCAGACCCAACAAAUAAGUAGCCCAAUCGGCCCAAAAUAGUUCCUGGCCCGGAACACAAAAAAAACAAAAGGAACCCUAGCCCUAAGCAAUAAGGAGCGCCGCAACAAGCCCUCAGCGCCGCAACAGCCCUUGCCUCUAGCGGCCUCUCCAAGCGCCGCACGACUCGGAGCCGACCCCUCUCCACGCACGCCGGCCUCUCCACGAACGCCUGCAAAAACGGACUCAAGGAGUCCAAAGAAAAAAACAAGCAAAAAAAAUAUAUAUUUUUAUAUAUUUUAUUUUCUCUUUUCGGCCUAUAAAAGGCCAUUUAAUCUGCAAAAUAAGGACGGAGAAAUACGGAAAAUACAGAGAAAAAUCAAUUGAAGAGUGAGUUGCUUAUUUUUUUUAAGGUGAUUAUUGGAGUUAUUUUAGAUCUUUUUUUUUCUGAUUUGGGUUUUUAUAUUGCGAAAAAAAUAAAAAAGGAAGAGACCACUUACCUGCUUCACCGAGUCUCCCUCCGUCACGGCCGGAGGCUGAGACGACGAUCGGGUUACGGCGCGCGGCGAAGGAUGGUGCGAGGACGCUAGGGAUUAAACCCUAGCAGAGCACCUAAGAGAUUUUUUUAUUUUUUUUU
rnacentral:lncRNA from 1 species